GAGUGGCGGACGGGUGAGUAACACGUAGGUAACCUGCCCCGGAGCGGGGGAUAACAUUUGGAAACAGAUGCUAAUACCGCAUAACAACAAAAGCCACAUGGCUUUUGUUUGAAAGAUGGCUUUGGCUAUCACUCUGGGAUGGACCUGCGGUGCAUUAGCUAGUUGGUAAGGUAACGGCUUACCAAGGCGAUGAUGCAUAGCCGAGUUGAGAGACUGAUCGGCCACAAUGGAACUGAGACACGGUCCAUACUCCUACGGGAGGCAGCAGUAGGGAAUCUUCCACAAUGGGCGCAAGCCUGAUGGAGCAACACCGCGUGAGUGAAGAAGGGUUUCGGCUCGUAAAGCUCUGUUGUUGGAGAAGAACGUGCGUGAGAGUAACUGUUCACGCAGUGACGGUAUCCAACCAGAAAGUCACGGCUAACUACGUGCCAGCAGCCGCGGUAAUACGUAGGUGGCAAGCGUUAUCCGGAUUUAUUGGGCGUAAAGCGAGCGCAGGCGGUUGCUUAGGUCUGAUGUGAAAGCCUUCGGCUUAACCGAAGAAGUGCAUCGGAAACCGGGCGACUUGAGUGCAGAAGAGGACAGUGGAACUCCAUGUGUAGCGGUGGAAUGCGUAGAUAUAUGGAAGAACACCAGUGGCGAAGGCGGCUGUCUGGUCUGCAACUGACGCUGAGGCUCGAAAGCAUGGGUAGCGAACAGGAUUAGAUACCCUGGUAGUCCAUGCCGUAAACGAUGAGUGCAUAGGUGUUGGAGGGUUUCCGCCCUUCAGUGCCGGAGCUAACGCAUUAAGCACUCCGCCUGGGGAGUACGACCGCAAGGUUGAAACUCAAAGGAAUUGACGGGGGCCCGCACAAGCGGUGGAGCAUGUGGUUUAAUUCGAAGCUACGCGAAGAACCUUACCAGGUCUUGACAUCUUGCGCUAACCUUAGAGAUAAGGCGUUCCCUUCGGGGACGCAAUGACAGGUGGUGCAUGGUCGUCGUCAGCUCGUGUCGUGAGAUGUUGGGUUAAGUCCCGCAACGAGCGCAACCCUUGUUACUAGUUGCCAGCAUUAAGUUGGGCACUCUAGUGAGACUGCCGGUGACAAACCGGAGGAAGGUGGGGACGACGUCAGAUCAUCAUGCCCCUUAUGACCUGGGCUACACACGUGCUACAAUGGACGGUACAACGAGUCGCAAGCUCGCGAGAGUAAGCUAAUCUCUUAAAGCCGUUCUCAGUUCGGACUGUAGGCUGCAACUCGCCUACACGAAGUCGGAAUCGCUAGUAAUCGCGGAUCAGCAUGCCGCGGUGAAUACGUUCCCGGGCCUUGUACACACCGCCCGUCACACCAUGGGAGUUUGUAACGCCCAAAGUCGGUGGCCUAACCUUUAUGGAGAAAGCCGCCUAAGGCGGGACAGAUGACUGGGGU
rnacentral:rRNA from 1 species